UACAGAGGGUGCGAGCGUUGUCCGGAAUCACUGGGCGUAAAGGGCGCGUAGAUGGCGCUGCAAGUCGGUGGUGAAAGCUCGUCGCUUAACGGCGAGUCGGCCAUCGAAACUGCAGGGCUCGAGCACUGUAGGGGCUAAUGGAAUUCCGGGUGUAGCGGUGGAAUGCGUAGAGAUCCGGAUGAACACCAGUGGCGAAGGCGGUUAGCUGGGCAGUUGCUGACACUGAUGCGCGACAGCGUGGGGAGCAAACAGG
rnacentral:rRNA from 1 species